UACGUAGGUGGCAAGCGUUGUCCGGAUUUACUGGGCGUAAAGAGCGCGCAGGCGGUCGUUCAAGUCGCGUGUGAAAGCCCCCGGCUCAACUGGGGAGGGUCACGCGAUACUGAUCGACUCGAAGGCAGGAGAGGGAAGUGGAAUUCCCGGUGUAGUGGUGAAAUGCGUAGAUAUCGAGAAGAACACCGGUGGCGAAGGCGGCCAACUGGACGGUGACUGACACUGAGACGCGAAAGCGUGGGGAGCAAACAGG
rnacentral:rRNA from 1 species